GGGCGCGUAGCUCAGUGGGAGAGCACUCGCCUUACAAGCGAGGGGUCGCAGGUUCGAAACCUGCCGCGCCCACCG
rnacentral:tRNA from 1 species